GAUGAACGCUAGCGGCAGGCCUAACACAUGCAAGUCGAGGGAGAAGCCCUUGCGGGGGCAGGAACCGGCGCACGGGUGCGUAACGCGUAUGCAACCUACCUUUCACAGGGGGAUAGGCCGAAGAAAUUUGGAUUAAUACCCCAUAAUAUUAUUGGAUGGCAUCAUUUGAUAAUUAAAACUGCGGUGGUGAAAGAUGGGCAUGCGUCCUAUUAGCUAGUUGGAGUGGUAACGGCACCCCAAGGCGACGAUAGGUAGGGGUCCUGAGAGGGAGAUCCCCCACAGGGGGACUGGGAACGGGACCAGACUCCUACGGGAGGCAGCAGUGAGGAAGACUGGACAAUGGUAGGAAGACUGAACCAGCCAUGCCGCGUGCAGGAAGAAUGCCUUAUGGGUUGUAAACUGCUUUUAUAUGGGAAGAAUAAGGCGUACGUGUACGUUGAUGACGGUACCAGAUGAAUAAGCACCGGCUAACUCCGUG
rnacentral:rRNA from 1 species